UACGUAGGGUGCAAGCGUUGUCCGGAAUUAUUGGGCGUAAAGAGCUUGUAGGCGGUUUGUCGCGUCUGCUGUGAAAUUUCGGGGCUCAACCCCGAACUUGCAGUGGGUACGGGCAGACUAGAGUGUGGUAGGGGAGACUGGAAUUCCUGGUGUAGCGGUGAAGUGCGCAGAUAUCAGGAGGAACACCGAUGGCGAAGGCAGGUCUCUGGGCCAUAACUGACGCUGAGAAGCGAAAGCAUGGGGAGCGAACAGG
rnacentral:rRNA from 1 species